CAAUAGCGUAUAUUAAAGUUGUUGCAGUUAAAAAGCUCGUAGUUGGAUUUCUGGUGGGAGCGAUCGGUCUGGCGCUUAGCGCGAGUACUUGCAUCGUCUCCGGCCAUCCUUGGGGAGAGUCUGUCUGGCAUUAGGUUGUCGGGCAGAGGAUCCUCAUCGUUUACUGUGAAAAAAUUAGAGUGUUCAAAGCAGGCUUAUGCCGUUGAAUAUAUUAGCAUGGAAUAAUAAGAUAGGACUUUGGUACUAUUUUGUUGGUUUGCGCACCAAAGUAAUGAUUAAUAGGGACAGUUGGGGGUAUUCGUAUUCUGUUAUCAGAGGUGAAAUUCUUGGAUUUACGGAAGACGAACUACUGCGAAAGCAUUUACCAAGGAUGUUUUCAUUAA
rnacentral:rRNA from 1 species